AACGGCGAGUGAAGCGGCAACAGCUCAAAUUUGAAAUCUGGCUCUUUCAGGGUCCGAGUUGUAAUUUGCAGAGGAUGCUUCGGCUUCGACCUUGGUCUAAGUUCCUUGGAACAGGACGUCACAGAGGGUGAGAAUCCCGUACGUGGCCGUGGUCUUCGCCAUGUGAAGCUCCUUCGACGAGUCGAGUUGUUUGGGAAUGCAGCUCUAAAUGGGAGGUAAAUUUCUUCUAAAGCUAAAUAUUGGCCAGAGACCGAUAGCGCACAAGUAGAGUGAUCGAAAGAUGAAAAGCACUUUGGAAAGAGAGUUAAAAAGUACGUGAAAUUGUUGAAAGGGAAGCGCUUGCACCCAGACUUGCCCGCGGUUGCUCAGCCGGUCUUUUGGCCGGUGCACUCUUCCGCGGUCAGGCCAGCAUCAGUUCGGGCGGUCGGAUAAAGGCCUUGGGAAUGUAGCUCCCCUCGGGGAGUGUUAUAGCCCUCGGUGCAAUGCGGCCCGCCUGGACUGAGGUCCGCGCUUCGGCUAGGAUGCUGGCGUAAUGGUUGUAAGCGGCCCGUCUUGAAACACGGACCAAGGAGUCUAACAUCUAUGCGAGUGUUUGGGUGUCAAACCCGUGCGCGAAAUGAAAGUGAACGGAGGUGGGAACCUUAGGGUGCACCAUCGACCGAUCCUGAUGUCUUCGGAUGGAUUUGAGUAAGAGCAUAGCUGUUGGGACCCGAAAGAUGGUGAACUAUGCCUGAAUAGGGUGAAGCCAGAGGAAACUCUGGUGGAGGCUCGCAGCGGUUCUGACGUGCAAAUCGAUCGUCAAAUUUGGGUAUAGGGGCGAAAGACUAAUCGA
rnacentral:rRNA from 1 species